rnacentral:misc_RNA from 1 species
GAUGAAGAACGUAGCGAAAUGCGAUAAGUAAUGUGAAUUGCAGAAUUCAGUGAAUCAUCGAAUCUUUGAACGCACAUUGCGCCCAUUAGUAUUCUAGUGGGCAUGCCUGUCCGAGCGUCAUUACAACCCUCAAGCUCAGCUUGGUGUUGGGCCCCGCCGCCCCGGCGGGCCCUAAAGUCAGUGGCGGUGCCGUCCGGCUCCGAGCGUAGUAAUUCUUCUCGCUCUGGAGGUCCGGUCGUGUGCUCGCCAGCAACCCCCAAUUUUUUUCAGGUUGACCUCGGAUCAGGUAGGGAUACCCGCUGAACUUAAGCAUAUCAAUAAGCGGAGGA